rnacentral:rRNA from 1 species
GUUGGUGUCAAUACCUGUGGAGUCACACCUGUUCCCGUCCCGAACACAGAAGUUAAGUCCACAUAGGGCGAUGGUACUAUAGGGUUUCCUAUGGGAGAGUAGCAAGAUGCCAGCU